UGGUGCAACAUGACACAUUAGCACGAAAAGGAAGAAUGUGAAGAUUGGAUCAGUUGGGUUUGCUGGAAAACCUUGUUCCCAACGAGUGAAGAAGUAUUUCCGUCUAAAGUUUCUGGAAAGGGAUCAAGAAGAAAUAGAUGAGGAUCUUGAUUUCAGAGCACUCGAAAAUGGCUUUGUUACGAUUACUCCU